UAAGUCGGAGGUGAAAUCCUGCAGCUCAACUGUAGAAUCGCCUUUGAUACUGGUAAUCUUGAGUCAUAUUGAAGUAGUUAGAAUAUGUAGUGUAGCGGUGAAAUGCAUAGAUAUUACAUAGAAUACCAAUUGCGAAGGCAGAUUACUAAUUAUGUACUGACACUGAUGGACGAAAGCGUGGGGAGCGAACAGGAUUAGAUACCCUGGUAGUCCACGCCGUAAACGAUGGAUACUAGCUGUUCGGACUUUCGGUCUGAGUGGCUAAGCGAAAGUGAUAUGUAUCCC
rnacentral:rRNA from 1 species